rnacentral:rRNA from 1 species
GUGACGCUGGCGGCAGGCCUACACAUGCAAGUCGAGCGGAAACGAGUUAUCUGAACCUUCGGGGGACGAUAACGGCGUCGAGCGGCGGACGGGUGAGUAAUGCCUAGGAAAUUGCCCUGGUGUGGGGGAUAACCAUUGGAAACGAUGGCUAAUACCGCAUAAUACCUUCGGGUCAAAGAGGGGGACCUUCGGGCCUCUCGCGUCAGGAUAUGCCUAGGUGGGAUUAGCUAGUUGGUGAGGUAAUGGCUCACCAAGGCGACGAUCCCUAGCUGGUCUGAGAGGAUGAUCAGCCACACUGGAACUGAGACACGGUCCAGACUCCUACGGGAGGCAGCAGUGGGGAAUAUUGCACAAUGGGCGCAAGCCUGAUGCAGCCAUGCCGCGUGUGUGAAGAAGGCCUUCGGGUUGUAAAGCACUUUCAGUCGUGAGGAAGGUAGUGUAGUUAAUAGCUGCAUUAUUUGACGUUAGCGACAGAAGAAGCACCGGCUAACUCCGUGCCAGCAGCCGCGGUAAUACGGAGGGUGCGAGCGUUAAUCGGAAUUACUGGGCGUAAAGCGCAUGCAGGUGGUUUGUUAAGUCAGAUGUGAAAGCCCGGGGCUCAACCUCGGAAUAGCAUUUGAAACUGGCAGACUAGAGUACUGUAGAGGGGGGUAGAAUUUCAGGUGUAGCGGUGAAAUGCGUAGAGAUCUGAAGGAAUACCGGUGGCGAAGGCGGCCCCCUGGGACAGAUACUGACACUC